rnacentral:rRNA from 1 species
UUAUAUUAGAGUUUGAUCCUAGCUCAGGAUGAACGCUGGCGGCGUGGGUAAGGCAUGCAAGUCGAACGCCUCUCACCAAUUUUGAGCUUUAGAAAUUUCUAGAGAACAAAAUUGGUGAGGGGAGUGGCGAACGAGGUAGUAAUAAGCAGGUACGAACCGAGAAGUCAGGAAUAGUCCGCCGAAAGGCGGGUUAAUACUUGAUAGUCCCUACGGGGUAAAGAUUUAUCGCUUCUUGAUCGGCCUGCUCGAUAUCAGCUAGUUGGUAGGGUAAUGGCCUACCAAGGCUAUGACGUCUAGGGGAGCUGAGAGGCUGACCCCCACCGAUGGAACUGAGACACGGUCCAUACACCUACGGGUGGCCGCAGUCGAGAAUCUUCCGCAAUGGGCGAAAGCCUGACGGAGCGACGCCGCGUGAUUGAUGAAGUCCUUAGGGAUGUAAAAAUCUUUUAUGAGGGAGGAAGUUUAUUGACGUUACCUCAUGAAUAAGGGGUUGCAAAACUCGUGCCAGCAGCAGCGGUAAUACGAGUGCCCCGAGCGUUAUCCGGAAUCAUUGGGCGUAAAGGAUGUGCAGGCGGUUUUGUUAGUCUUUUGUUAAGUCUCUCGGCUUAACCGGGAAAAUGCAAAGGAAACGGCAAGACUUGAGGGUGCGAGGGGUCUAUGGAACUCAUGGUGUAGGGGUGAAAUCUGUUGAUAUCAUGGGGAACACCAAAAGCGAAGGCAAUAGACUGGAGCAUUCCUGACGCUGAAACAUGAAAGCGUGGGUAGCGAAUGGGAUUAGAUACCCCAGUAGUCCACGCCCUAAACUAUCUUCUCUGGCUUUUCGGAGUAUCGACCCUCUGAGAGGCGAAGCUAACGCGUUAAGAGAAGCGCCUGGGUAGUACGGCCGCAAGGCUAAAACUCAAAGGAAUAGACGGGGACUUGCACAAGCGGUGGAUCAUGUGGUUUAAUUCGAUGGUAAACGAAGAACCUUACCAGGGUUAGAAAUCUAAUCGAAGGCCGGCGGAAACGUCAGCCGUCUCACAAGGACGGUUAGACAGGUGAUGCAUGGCCGUCGUCAGUUCGUGGUUUGAAUUGUUCCCUUAAGUGGGGUAACGAACGCAACCCUCGUUGCCUGUUAUAAGUGUCAGGCGAGACUGCUCCCCCACCAGUUUUUGAAAUUAAUCAAACUUGUUUAAUUUUAGAAAUUGCGCGAACGGUUUUGGACAAAGAUAGAAAUUGUUCGAAAACUGGUGGGGGAGAGGAAGGCGAGGAUGACGCCAGGUCAGCAUGUCCCUCUGAUACCCUGGGCUACACACGUGAUACAAUGGCCGUUACAACGGGACGCAAUGCCGAAAGGCGGAGCAAAUCCUUAUAAAAGCGGCCCAAGUUCGGAUUGAGGUCUGCAACUCGACCUCAUGAAGCUGGAAUCGCUAGUAAUCACAGGUCAGCUAUACUGUGGUGAAUACGUUCUCAAGUCUUGUACUCACCGCCCGUCAACUCAAGGGAGUCGGAAGUACCCGAAGUUCGCCCUCGCGGCGACCUACGGUAAGUUCGAUGACAGGGAGUAAGUCGUCAUUGCACAAUGCAAAUUGCGACCUGUCAAGGCAACUU